CCUACGGGCGGCAGCAGUGGGGAAUAUUGGACAAUGGGCGAAAGCCUGAUCCAGCCAUGCCGCGUGUGUGAAGAAGGCCUUCGGGUUGUAAAGCACUUUCAGUGGGGAAGAAAGCCUUGGGGCUAAUACCCUCGAGGAAGGACAUCACCCACAGAAGAAGCACCGGCUAACUCCGUGCCAGCAGCCGCGGUAAUACGGAGGGUGCGAGCGUUAAUCGGAAUUACGGGGCGUAAAGCGCGCGUAGGCGGUCUGAUAAGCCGGUUGUGAAAGCCCCGGGCUCAACCUGGGAACGGCAUCCGGAACUGUCAGGCUAGAGUGCAGGAGAGGAAGGUAGAAUUCCCGGUGUAGCGGUGAAAUGCGUAGAGAUCGGGAGGAAUACCAGUGGCGAAGGCGGCCUUCUGGACUGACACUGACGCUGAGGUGCGAAAGCGUGGGUAGCAAACAGGAUUAGAUACCCGAGUAGUC
rnacentral:rRNA from 1 species